AGCGAACGCUGGCGGCAGGCUUAACACAUGCAAGUCGAGCGGACCUUUCGGUGUCAGCGGCUGACGUGUGAGUAACGCGUGGGAACGUUCCUUCCGUUUCUGUAUAACCCUUGGUAACUAGGUCUAAUACCUUCUACGCCCUUAUGGGUAAAGGUUUAGUGCCGGAAGAUCGGCCCGCGUCUGAUUAGCUAGUUGGUGGGGUAACGUCCUACCAAGGCGACGAUCAGUAGCUGGUCUGAGAGGAUGAUCAGCCACACUGGGACUGAGACACGGCCCAGACUCCUACGGGAGGCAGCAGAGGGGAAUAUUGGACAAUGGGCGAAAGACUGAUCAAGCAAUGCCGCGUGAGUGAUGAAGGCCUUAGGGUUGUAAAGCUCUUUUAUCCGGGACGAUAAUGACGGUACCGGAGGAAUAAGCCCCGGCUAACUUCGUG
rnacentral:rRNA from 1 species